AACGCACAAACAUUUCUUUUCUUUAGUUUCUUUUCAUUUUUCGCAUUAUCUUCUAUUCCCUCUUCCUUCAUUUUCCUUUUCAAUCCUACUCCUCAUUCCUCAGUCAGCUGUUUAUCUUGCCUUCACAACCCACAAACAUUUAUUUUUCUUUGUUUCUUUUCAUUUUCCUCAUUAUCUUCUAUUCCCUCUUCCUUCAUUUCCCUUUUCAAUCCUACUCUUCAUUCCUCAGUCAGCUGUUUAUCUUGCCUUCACAACCCACAAACAUUUAUUUUCUUUAGUUUCUUUUCAUUUUUCUCAUUAUCUUCUAUUCCCUCUUUCUUCAUUUCCUUUUUUAAUCCUACUUUUCAUUCCUCAAUCAGCUGUUUAUCUUGCCUUCACAACCCACAAACAUUUAUUUUUCUUUGGUUUCUUUUCAUUUUUCUCAUUAUCUUCUAUUCCCUCUUUCUUCAUUUCCCUUUUUAAUUCUGCUUUUCAUCCCUCAAUCAACUGUUUAUCUUGACUUCACAACCCACAAACAUUUAUUUUUCUUUGGUUUCUUU